UCUGACUUAUGAACCCAAAAUAUUUGCUGCC
rnacentral:piRNA from 1 species